rnacentral:rRNA from 1 species
UACGUAGGGACCAAGCGUUGUUCGGAUUUACUGGGCGUAAAGGGCGCGUAGGCGGCGUGACAAGUCACUUGUGAAAUCUCCGGGCUUAACUCGGAACGGUCAAGUGAUACUGUCGUGCUAGAGUACAGAAGGGGCAACUGGAAUUCUCGGUGUAGCGGUGAAAUGCGUAGAUAUCGAGAGGAACACCUGCGGCGAAGGCGGGUUGCUGGGCUGAUACUGACGCUGAGGCGCGAAAGCUAGGGGAGCGAACGGG